UGGCCCACAGGCUGUCGGGGUGGGACCGAGGCUCGGAGAGGGGAGCACACUGCCGGGGAGGGGCAGUGGCCGGGCUGGAUUUCCUCCUCCCCUGGGGCCGCGGCAGGCUGGGCCCGUGCAGGGAAAGCCACGUGGUGAGGCAGCCUGAUGCCCCCGUCCUCAGCGGGCUUGUGCUGCGUCAGGCCAGGAGUCGGGCAGGCAGGGUCUUUAUCAGGAAGACCCACCACCCUAUUUUCCAAUAAGCUGAAUUAUUCUGGGAGUUGGAAAUGCCAACCGGUUCUACCGAGGCCUGAACCGCUGACAGGCCCUGAAGCCUCCUAUCGGUCUGAUGGAGCUAUUAGAACAAGUCAGGGGGCCAGGACCCCGCGGCAGAAGGCGGCUGGCUCGCUAACCAGACCCGCAGCAGCCGGAAUCGCUGAGCAGAAGCCAAAGGUCACCAGCGUUGUGUUUGGAAGGAGAGAGACGGGCAUUUCAAAGUUAAAGCCAAAAAACGUAGCUGAGUUCUGCUUUUUCCCCAUGAAUUCAUCUUAACCAAAGAGAAAACAACAUUAAAGGUCUUACAGAAAAAGAA